GUCCGUGGAGCGAGCAGAGCGUCAGCAGCGUCUCCACUGGGGCUCGAGCUACUUGCAGGUACAGCCAGCCCUCCUCUCCCAAUGAAGGAGCGUGUUCAGCAGCAUGGGACCACGUUACAGAGUCUCGGUACAGCCAUGAAUCCAUGCUGCAAAUCAUGGACCGAUGGGAGAGAGAGGGGUUUUUCCACUCCCCUCUUCAGCACCCUCCCAGCUCCCACAACAACCGACCCAAAGAUCCACACUUCCUACAUCAGAAUCCAGUGGGAUUUGACUCUCGCUCCCUGGAGCAUAUGAUGGAACGGCUACCGGGUGCCAGGGGUUCCUACUCCAGCUGGAGCUCUACCUGGCAGCUGAUCAGCCAGCCCCCUCAGGACACGAGAGAGUGAGCGCCCUCAUCUCUUGUCUGACUGGAAAAGCACUGGUCUGGGCCAACGCCAUCUGGGGAAGAGAAGGCCCGAGAUGUUGGACAAUUACGAAGGUUUCACCCGCCGCUUCCGGGCGGUUUUCGAUCAUCCACCAGAGGGGAGAGCGGCGGGGGAACGCUUGUUCCAUUUAUGACAAGGGAUGAGGAGCGCUCACUCUGGCCACCGGCGCAGGAUGGAAUGAGCGGGCUCUGAUCAACCUCUACAGGUGUAGUUUAGGCGAGGACGUUCGUAGGGAGUUAGCCUGCAGGGACACCACCCUUAAUCUGGACCAGCUGGUGGACCUAUCCCUCCGGCUGGAUAACCUGUUGGCCUCCCGCGGAGGUCCACAUCGGGGUCUGUCAGUUCCAUCCCCCAGCACAUCUGAUCCUACCCCAAUGGAGCUGGGAGGUACUGCUAUGAGGGGGACCGUUCCCUUCACCAACUGUGGCUGCAGAGGACACACUGCUGGUCGGCGCUGGGGAAGUUUCCCAGGUAAUCGAGGUGGCAGGCGGAGCACUGGUGAAGUAUCUCAGGCCGGUGGUGGCUGGUCCACUCCAGCAGUCUGAGAUGCGGGAGGUUCCUCCGCCCCCUCUGGACAUCGAGGGGGCCCCGGCGUAUGCUGUGCGAGCCAUCAUGGUGCAAGACGUCGGGCGAGAGGCCUUCAGUACCUCGUGGAGUGGGAAGGGUACGGUCCGGAGGAGAGAUGCUGGGUGUCGGUGGAGGACAUCCUGGAUCCAUCAUUACUGCAGGAAUUUCACCGCCUCCAUCCGGAUCUCCCUGUGCCUUGUCCUCUGGGUCGUCGUGCGGCUCCAGGGGA